CUACGGGAGGCAGCAGUGGGGAAUUUUCCGCAAUGGGCGAAAGCCUGACGGAGCAAUACCGCGUGAGGGAAGACGGCCUAUGGGUUGUAAACCUCUUUUUUCAGGGAGGAAUUUUGACGUGUACCUGAAGAAUAAGCAUCGGCUAACUCCGUGCCAGCGGCCGCGGUAAGACGGAGGAUGCAAGUGUUAUCCGGAAUCACUGGGCGUAAAGCGUCUGUAGGUGGUUAAGCAAGUCAACUGUUAAAUCUUGAGGCUCAACUUCAAAAUCGCAGUCGAAACUGUUUGACUAGAGUAUAGUAGGGGUAAAGGGAAUUUCCAGUGGAGCGGUGAAAUGCGUAGAUAUUGGAAAGAACACCGAUGGCGAAGGCACUUUACUGGGCUAUUACUGACACUCAGAGACGAAAGCUAGGGUAGCAAAUGGGAUUAGAUACCCCAGUAGUCCUAGCCGUAAACAAUGGAUACUAGAUGUUGAACAGAUCGACCUGUGCAGUAUCAAAGCUAACGCGUUAAGUAUCCCGCCUGGGAAGUAUGCUCGCAAGAGUGAAACUCAAAG
rnacentral:rRNA from 1 species